rnacentral:rRNA from 1 species
CAGCCCUUGACAUGGGACGUAUGGGAGGCGGAGAUGCCUCUCUUCAGUUCGGCUGGCGUCCACACAGGUGCUGCAUGGCUGUCGUCAGCUCGUGUCGUGAGAUGUUGGGUUAAGUCCCGCAACGAGCGCAACCCUCAUCUUCAGUUGCCAUCAGGUUAAGCUGGGCACUCUGGAGAAACUGCCGGUGACAAGCCGGAGGAAGGCGGGGAUGACGUCAAGUCCUCAUGGCCCUUACGGGCUGGGCUACACACGUGCUACAAUGGCGGUGACAGCGGGCGGCGAANGUGCGAGCCUGAGCCAAUCCCGAAAAGCCGUCUCAGUUCGGAUUGCACUCUGCAACUCGAGUGCAUGAAGUUGGAAUCGCUAGUAAUCGCGGAUCAACAUGCCGCGGUGAAUACGUUCCC